rnacentral:rRNA from 1 species
AUGGGGAAACCCAGUGUGAUUCGUCACACUAUCAUUAACUGAAUCCAUAGGUUAAUGAGGCGAACCGGGGGAACUGAAACAUCUAAGUACCCCGAGGAAAAGAAAUCAACCGAGAUUCCCCCAGUAGCGGCGAGCGAACGGGGAGCAGCCCAGAGCCUGAAUCAGUGUGUGUGUUAGUGGAAGCGUCUGGAAAGGCGCGCGAUACAGGGUGACAGCCCCGUACACAAAAAUGCACAUGCUGUGAGCUCGAUGAGUAGGGCGGGACACGUGGUAUCCUGUCUGAAUAUGGGGGGACCAUCCUCCAAGGCUAAAUACUCCUGACUGACCGAUAGUGAACCAGUACCGUGAGGGAAAGGCGAAAAGAACCCCGGCGAGGGGAGUGAAAAAGAACCUGAAACCGUGUACGUACAAGCAGUGGGAGCACGCUUAGGCGUGUGACUGCGUACCUUUUGUAUAAUGGGUCAGCGACUUAUAUUCUGUAGCAAGGUUAACCGAAUAGGGGAGCCGAAGGGAAACCGAGUCUUAACUGGGCGUUAAGUUGCAGGGUAUAGACCCGAAACCCGGUGAUCUAGCCAUGGGCAGGUUGAAGGUUGGGUAACACUAACUGGAGGACCGAACCGACUAAUGUUGAAAAAUUAGCGGAUGACUUGUGGCUGGGGGUGAAAGGCCAAUCAAACCGGGAGAUAGCUGGUUCUCCCCGAAAGCUAUUUAGGUAGCGCCUCGUGAAUUCAUCUCCGGGGGUAGAGCACUGUUUCGGCAAGGGGGUCAUCCCGACUUACCAACCCGAUGCAAACUGCGAAUACCGGAGAAUGUUAUCACGGGAGACACACGGCGGGUGCUAACGUCCGUCGUGAAGAGGGAAACAACCCAGACCGCCAGCUAAGGUCCCAAAGUCAUGGUUAAGUGGGAAACGAUGUGGGAAGGCCCAGACAGCCAGGAUGUUGGCUUAGAAGCAGCCAUCAUUUAAAGAAAGCGUAAUAGCUCACUGGUCGAGUCGGCCUGCGCGGAAGAUGUAACGGGGCUAAACCAUGCACCGAAGCUGCGGCAGCGACGCUUAUGCGUUGUUGGGUAGGGGAGCGUUCUGUAAGCCUGUGAAGGUGUGCUGUGAGGCAUGCUGGAGGUAUCAGAAGUGCGAAUGCUGACAUAAGUAACGAUAAAGCGGGUGAAAAGCCCGCUCGCCGGAAGACCAAGGGUUCCUGUCCAACGUUAAUCGGGGCAGGGUGAGUCGACCCCUAAGGCGAGGCCGAAAGGCGUAGUCGAUGGGAAACAGGUUAAUAUUCCUGUACUUGGUGUUACUGCGAAGGGGGGACGGAGAAGGCUAUGUUGGCCGGGCGACGGUUGUCCCGGUUUAAGCGUGUAGGCUGGUUUUCCAGGCAAAUCCGGAAAAUCAAGGCUGAGGCGUGAUGACGAGGCACUACGGUGCUGAAGCAACAAAUGCCCUGCUUCCAGGAAAAGCCUCUAAGCAUCAGGUAACAUCAAAUCGUACCCCAAACCGACACAGGUGGUCAGGUAGAGAAUACCAAGGCGCUUGAGAGAACUCGGGUGAAGGAACUAGGCAAAAUGGUGCCGUAACUUCGGGAGAAGGCACGCUGAUAUGUAGGUGAAGUCCCUCGCGGAUGGAGCUGAAAUCAGUCGAAGAUACCAGCUGGCUGCAACUGUUUAUUAAAAACACAGCACUGUGCAAACACGAAAGUGGACGUAUACGGUGUGACGCCUGCCCGGUGCCGGAAGGUUAAUUGAUGGGGUCAGCGCAAGCGAAGCUCUUGAUCGAAGCCCCGGUAAACGGCGGCCGUAACUAUAACGGUCCUAAGGUAGCGAAAUUCCUUGUCGGGUAAGUUCCGACCUGCACGAAUGGCGUAAUGAUGGCCAGGCUGUCUCCACCCGAGACUCAGUGAAAUUGAACUCGCUGUGAAGAUGCAGUGUACCCGCGGCAAGACGGAAAGACCCCGUGAACCUUUACUAUAGCUUGACACUGAACAUUGAGCCUUGAUGUGUAGGAUAGGUGGGAGGCUUAGAAGUGUGGACGCCAGUCUGCAUGGAGCCGACCUUGAAAUACCACCCUUUAAUGUUUGAUGUUCUAACGUUGACCCGUAAUCCGGGUUGCGGACAGUGUCUGGUGGGUAGUUUGACUGGGGCGGUCUCCUCCUAAAGAGUAACGGAGGAGCACGAAGGUUGGCUAAUCCUGGUCGGACAUCAGGAGGUUAGUGCAAUGGCAUAAGCCAGCUUGACUGCGAGCGUGACGGCGCGAGCAGGUGCGAAAGCAGGUCAUAGUGAUCCGGUGGUUCUGAAUGGAAGGGCCAUCGCUCAACGGAUAAAAGGUACUCCGGGGAUAACAGGCUGAUACCGCCCAAGAGUUCAUAUCGACGGCGGUGUUUGGCACCUCGAUGUCGGCUCAUCACAUCCUGGGGCUGAAGUAGGUCCCAAGGGUAUGGCUGUUCGCCAUUUAAAGUGGUACGCGAGCUGGGUUUAGAACGUCGUGAGACAGUUCGGUCCCUAUCUGCCGUGGGCGCUGGAGAACUGAGGGGGGCUGCUCCUAGUACGAGAGGACCGGAGUGGACGCAUCACUGGUGUUCGGGUUGUCAUGCCAAUGGCACUGCCCGGUAGCUAAAUGCGGAAGAGAUAAGUGCUGAAAGCAUCUAAGCACGAAACUUGCC